rnacentral:rRNA from 1 species
UACGUAGGGGGCAAGCGUUGUCCGGAAUCAUUGGGCGUAAAGCGCGCGUAGGCGGCCCUGUAAGUCCGUUGUGAAAGUCGAAGGCUCAACCUUCGAAAGCCGAUGGAUACUGCAGGGCUAGAGUCCGGAAGAGGCGAGUGGAAUUCCUGGUGUAGCAGUGAAAUGCGCAGAUAUCAGGAAGAACACCCGUGGCUAAGGCGGUUCUCUGGGACGGUACUGACGCUGAGACGCGAAAGCGUGGGGAGCGAACAGG